rnacentral:rRNA from 1 species
UACGUAGGGGGCAAGCGUUGUCCGGAUUUAUUGGGCGUAAAGAGCGUGUAGGCGGCUUUACAGGUCCGUUGUGAAAACUCGAGGCUCAACCUCGAGACGCCGGUGGAAACCGUAAAGCUAGAGUCCGGAAGAGGAGAGUGGAAUUCCUGGUGUAGCGGUGAAAUGCGCAGAUAUCAGGAGGAACACCCGUGGCGAAGGCGGGUCUCUGGGCCGAUACUGACACUGAGAAGCGAAAGCGUGGGGAGCGAACAGG